rnacentral:snRNA from 1 species
UUGCUUCAGCAGCCGGUUUACUAAAAUUGAAACAAUACAGAGAUUAUCAUGGCCCCUGGUCAAGGAUGACAUGCAAAUUCAUGAAGAGUUGGGUAUUUUU